rnacentral:lncRNA from 1 species
GCAAUAGAUAUACAACCCCAAAAGAGUUCUAUUUACAUCCUCAAAAGAAGUUAUCCAGACUACUACAUUAUCCUAUGCUAGUAUUCAAAAGUAGAAAGUAGACCGAAAGAGGGGUCCUUAUACAGAUCACCAAAACAAGAAGAAACAUCUUAGUUGUCCGGCUAUUACAAACCAAGCCUAACUAUUCUAGUGAUAGUGUCAAAAGUUCCCCGCAUCGGCCCCUGUUAAGGAAAACAAAGGCAAUGGGGUAAGCUAUAUGCUUAGUAAGUAUACGGGUAAAAACAUAAAUUUUACAUUAAGACGGGCAAUUACGUCACAAAGAUGUCCAAUCGAAAAUAUAAAAGUAAUAACACAAGUUAAGGAUACAGGUUGGCUCCAAAACCACGUCAUGUGCCAUGUGUGACCUCCUGCCGACACUCCGUCGACCACCGGUAAGGGUCCGUAGAACUCUACUUGUACUCUCACCUAACACCAUAUCACCAUCACUGGCCAGUCACCUCACGAAAUGGCUCGAGCAAACGAAAUGAAAUUGAACUUGACACACAAGCUCGGUUCAAAAAAUUGGUUUACAAAACCACAAACUUGGUGACCUUAAGACUAGGUUGGACUGGUUUCGACCAAGCCCCGGCCGGCUCAAAUAGUCCGUCUAGGUCUUGAGAUCGGGCCCCACAAAAGUCACCCCGAACUACAAGUUCAAGGGUUCAACACCAAAAUAAUUCAUAUAUACACAUCUCAUAAAGAAGCACAGGUGCAAAGUAGGGUUUAGGUUGAGUGUGAUCAAGUACACCCUUGCCUAAGUACCCUCUCAUCCACACCAAAGCACAUAAACAAGUUAUACACAAAAAAGGGCCUGAAUACUGACACAGAGAGAAGGUAUAGCAAAAGUUCAAAAAUCACGUCACGUAACAGCUAGUAGGCCCCACUGGUACCGUCUAACCCGUCACUGUCUGAAAUAAAAGAUUGCACCACAUUACUACACAAACGACUACUAAAAUGCAUAAAUUAAGCAAAACGGCAAAAAGGGCACAUGUACGCGCGGAAACGGCAAACGAAAACGGAAAUGGCCGGCAAACGGAAACAGCAGAUUUGGCACCUAGAACUGUUUUGAUCAAAUUUCAGGCUACGGUUAUCGGAUCGAAGUGCAUGAUGCACCUUUACGAAACUAAGAAGAAGGGAUACAACUUUUAUGACGACACCUCAAGUCAGAUCUCAAUGGAACUAGGACAAAAAUGCACAAGACAGUCCCAGCGGUUUCAAUUCAGGUUACCGAGCAGGCCCUGUUUGAAUGACUAUCACUCAUAACUCAGAGAUCGGAAUCAAGAAAUUCCAGAGGCGUUGGAAAGCUCAUUUAUAAGGCUAUAACUUUUGUGUUUUGACCAAAAGCUGAAUUAGUAUAGAGCAUAGGGAAAAAUGGGUCCAAAUUUCCUGUCAGAACUGUCCAACUUCAAAGGCAGUUCUGACACCCGAUAUUGUUUUCGGUGUAAUUAGAGCUACGGAAUUCAAAUUUGGACGCAUUUUAUACCGUUUUGAAGCUGAGACAAAGAUCUACAAGUCCUACGAAGAUCUCAACACCCAGUUCCUUCGUUAUCAAUGUGAACUGAGCACGGGCAGAAGCAAAAUCAAGAAACGUAGCACAAUUCAGAGUUUAGAAUAGAAGCGAGGGUUUUGGCCAUAACUCAGGCUACACAGAUCCGUUUGCCCUGAAAUUUUGCAGGUACAACAAGAACUUAAGAAGCUACAACUUUCAUGUUUUGGGCAAAUCCUGAAUCAGUAUGUAGCACAAACAAAAAUGUACCCAAAAUUCAGAUUCUGGCUGCCUUGUUUUCCAGUUUAACCGGUUUUGCACGUCGCAAACGCAUUGUCCGUUGCUAUGGUUCUCAUGCAAGUUUUCUAACCAACUUCUACAGGUUUUUAUAGCUAAACGUGACAUAAUAUCAGAAACCAGAGGUAACACUUCCAUGCAUCUUCCUAUCAGAAUUUAGUUCAAAGUUCUUACAGCCUGCAUCAGUCCAGAAUUAUUCGAGCUUUAGAUCAGAAAUUUCCCUCAGUUGAAGCUCAACUUACAGGUUAAACAUAUACUCAGGACAUAUGAAUGUUAUUCACGAUCUUACCUCUAGUCCUAAGCUUUAGAAAUUGCAGCCGAAAUCAGUUCCUUUCCAGCUUCUCCUGCCUUCCUUACUGUAUUUUCCUUAUCUUUGGUUGUUUG